GGAGGGAUGGCAGAGUGGUCGAUUGCGGCGGUCUUGAAAACCGCUAAGGUGAAAGCCUUCAGGGGUUCGAAUCCCCUUCCCUCCUCCA
rnacentral:tRNA from 2 species